rnacentral:rRNA from 1 species
AUGGUGUCGCUGAAGCUGCAGAAGCGCCUGGCCUCGAGCGUCCUCAAGUGCGGCAAGGGCAAGGUCUGGCUCGACCCCAAUGAGGUCAACGAGAUCUCCAUGGCCAACUCCCGGCAGAACAUCCGGAAGCUGGUGAAGGAUGGUUUCAUCAUCAGGAAGCCUCAGAAGAUCCACUCCAGGUCUCGUGCAAGGAGGGCACAUGAGGCCAAGCAGAAGGGCCGUCACUCUGGAUAUGGUAAGCGUAGGGGUACCAGGGAGGCUAGGCUCCCCACCAAGAUCCUGUGGAUGCGGAGGAUGCGCGUCCUCAGGCGCCUUCUGCGCAAGUACCGUGAGGCCAAGAAGAUCGACAAGCACAUGUACCAUGACAUGUACCUGAAGGUCAAGGGUAACAUGUUCAAGAACAAGAGGGUCCUCAUGGAGAGUAUCCACAAGUCCAAGGCUGAGAAGGCAAGAGAGAAGACCCUCUCUGACCAGUUCGAGGCCAAGCGCGCCAAGAGCAAGGCAAGCAGGGAGAGGAAGAUUGCCAGGAGGGAGGAGAGAUUGGCUCAGGGCCCGAGAGAUCAUGCACCAGCACCAGCGGCUGCAGCUCCCGCUCAGGCAGCAGCGGCACCAAAGAAGGCCAAGAAGUGA